GUUGUAAAAGAAAAAGUUAUCAACUAAGUGGUCGAACUCUUCGUAAACUACCAUUCCUUGCACAUGCGCUGUAUUCGAAAGCACAAACGAUAACCUCAGAAGAGUUUUUGAAUAAUCUUUCAAUGAUUGUUGACAAGCAGUUCAAA